rnacentral:misc_RNA from 1 species
CCCAUCAAAGUUCACAUUCAGGAGAGGAGCUCUUUUAACUGCAUUGCUUGGUAUUGUUUUCCAGCCAUGGAGACUGCUCCAAUCAAGUGAAAGCUUUGUUUAUACUUGGUUAGUUGGCUACUCUGCCUUAUUGGGCCCAAUUGGGGGUAUUUUACUAGUAGACUAUUAUCUUAUUCAGAAGACAAACUUAAGUGUCAAGGACUUGUACACCUCGAGUCCAUAUGGAGCGUAUUUUUACUCAGGGG